rnacentral:rRNA from 1 species
UACGGGGGGUGCGAGCGUUGUCCGGAAUCACUGGGCGUAAAGGGCGCGUAGGUGGUUUGAUAAGGGUGUGGUGAAAGCCCGGGGCUCAACCCCGGGUCUGCCGUGCCGACUGUCAAACUCGAGGGCUGUAGAGGCAGACGGAAUUCCUGGUGUAGCGGUGAAAUGCGCAGAUAUCAGGAGGAACACCGGUGGCGAAGGCGGUUCUCUGGGCCUUACCUGACGCUGAGGAGCGAAAGCGUGGGGAGCGAACAGG